UUAGCUCAUAUUUGUAUGGAAUAGGAUCGUUUGCGUACUUUUGUCGCUAGGGGCGCUGUUCCAAUUGCAUACAAAAUUGGGUUA
rnacentral:pre_miRNA from 1 species